rnacentral:rRNA from 1 species
AAUGGGGGCAACCCUGACGCAGCAACGCCGCGUGAGUGAGGAAGGUUUUCGGACCGUAAAGCUCUGUCGAGCGGGAAGAAAUGCAUGGUGGCUAAUAUCCAUCAUGCUUGACGGUACCGCUAAAGGAAGCACCGGCUAACUCCGUGCCAGCAGCCGCGGUAAUACGGGGGGUGCGAGCGUUGUUCGGAAUUAUUGGGCGUAAAGAGCGUGUAGGCGGCCGAAUAAGUCAGAUGUGAAAUCCCUGGGCUUAACCCAGGACGUGCAUUUGAAACUAUUCGGCUAGAGUAGGGGAGAGGAAAGUGGAAUUCCUGGUGUAGAGGUGAAAUUCGUAGAUAUCAGGAGGAACACCGGUGGCGAAGGCGACUUUCUGGCCCUAUACUGACGCUGAGACGCGAGAGCGUGGGUAGCAAA